GAGUCCACAUCGACGGGAGGUUUGGCACCUCGAUGUCGGCUCAUCGCAGUCCUGGGGCUGUAGUCGGUCCCAAGGGUUGGGCUGUUCGCCCAUUAAAGCGGUACGCGAGCUGGGUUCAGAACGUCGUGAGACAGUUCGGUCCCUAUCCGUCGCGGGCGUAGGAAAUUUGAGAGGAGCUGUCCUUAGUACGAGAGGACCGGGAUGGACGCACCGCUGGUGUACCAGUUGUUCCGCCAGGAGCACAGCUGGGUAGCUAUGUGCGGAAGGGAUAAGCGCUGAAAGCAUCUAAGCGUGAAGCCCCCCUCAAGAUGAGAUUUCCCAUCGCGUCAAGCGAGUAAGAUCCCUUGAAGAUGACAAGGUAGAUAGGUCCGAGGUGGAAGCGUGGCGACACGUGCAGCUGACGGAUACUAAUCGAUCGAGGACUUAAC
rnacentral:rRNA from 1 species